GUGUGUCGGUGUGUGUGUGUGUGUCUGAGUGUGUUUGUGUGUGUGUGUGUGCGUAUGUGUUUGAACAGGCCUGGAUUCAGAUACAUUUUUCAUAUCUUGGUUCCGCAUUUGCUGGUUUGUUCAUCACAUCUCUCUGAUAAGAGACGGAGCUAAAAGAGCUGAAAGGGAAUCAGAACACAGCCUUAGAACUGACCUGAGAAAGAAGGGUGCACCUGUGUUCUCUCCGUUUUCCAUCAGGCCACCCAGUUCUCCCUAGUCGGGUAGGCCAUUCUUCUCUAUUCCUGGCACAGUUUCAAAAGAUGGCAGACUUUCGUCUCCUGGAAAACAUCUUCUCCCACCUACUCUUUCUAGGCCUUUUAACACUGUGUUUGAGUAUCUCUCAGCAUUCAUUCAACAAAGGUCAAAGGUUAUACAAUGAGCCAGAGAGCACCCCACUCUCCCAGACAGACAGUGGGCAGGGUUCCCCUGCUGGCAAUCCGUCAGACCCUCGGACCCUUCCAGAAGGGGGAACUCCUCCAGUAACAAAAUCUCUUCACAUCGACCUGAAGACUAGCUCUGCCUCAAAAGAGGGUCCGGCUCAAGUAGACGGUUCCACUUCUGAAACUUCCAGAGAACGUUCCCCACGGUCUGUUGGUUCCAGAGAGCAGGCUGGAGAAUCACAAGGAGAUCCCACGUCUCGUGAAAGAUUGUCUGUGUCUGUGACUACAAACCCUCUUUCUGCACUUGCAGAACAGACCACUGUUGGCAUGUAUCACCUGACAGGAACAUCCAUCACUCGAUCUCCAUUCAGUCUGAGAGUCCAUCACCAUGGUACUGUGAUGUUCCUUAUCUAAGCAAAAUCCUUCUCCUGCCUCUCCUGUUCCGUUUCCUACGUUUCCCAUCUUUUCCUGCUCUGCGUAACUGACUUAACUAAUCAGUGGCACUCUUCAGUGGUUCUGAUUGGCCAGCUCACGAGCAUGAUAACUACACUGACUUUAAAGGGACCAAACCAACCGAUGCAUACUCCACGAGAAGCACAGUGCCUGGGACGACACAGUCAGCCACAACCCCUGAAGGAUCCGGCUUUGGGGACGACCCUGGGUGGAUAGACGGUCCGGGGAAGAACUUUGUGUCCAGCGAGAGUACUGUGGAGACGACCAAAACAGAAGGGGAAAACAUCAAAGAACAAUAAUAAGAGAACUUGAAGAGCUCAGUGGCCACACACCCUUGCUCAUUUAUUUUAAAGGAAAGGCCUUUACAUGUAGGUGAACCGCACAAAGUCGAAAUGAUGUCACUCUGUUUGUACCUCAUUUGUGUUUUUACAUUUCCUUUUACAUUGUCAAUACUCUAUCACGUGGGCAUAGAUUUAGAUUCUGUCUUAGUACUUAGUACUAACUUUGUAGUUACCUUUUCUCUAUGUUCUGAUAACUUAAAAUCUCAAGUGCAAGUUCGAAAAAGACAUUGUAGAGGUAGAAUCUAGGUUGUUGAAUUCGCUUUUUUUAGCUUAAAAUGUUUCAAAUUCUAGUGGUUUACUGUAUUUGGUAUGAUUUGAUUAGAAAAGAGGUGUUACAUUUGCUUAAACUACACAGGAGGUUCUAUUUGCCUCAAACAUUCCACAUACAGAAAAAUUGAUAACACUUCGUUGUCCUAAGAAUAACAUUACCGUGGCAUAAAAAUGUCAUAGGAAGGGGGCAUGUCCUAUAACUUUCAUGACCAGAAUGAAAUCAUAUUACAAUUAUUAUUAUUAGUUCUAUUAUUAUUAUUAAUUAUUAAUAUAAUAAUAAUAAUAAUGUUGUAAUAGUAUCAUAUAAUUAUGAAAUAGAGAUUAUGGGUAAAUGCCACUAUUUAGUUUGUGCUUUGUAGAACAGGUCAUGAGAGUAAUAAGGUGACAGCUGUGUGGGUGUUCUUUUUUAGAGUAUGGUCAGGAUUACCAUUAUAGAGAAGCCCAUUGGCAAAAUUUAAGGGAGUUUUUGGAAAUGGGGGAUGUUUUUCUGUGUUCUUAAUGUGAAUUGGAUUACUGAUAAGUAACAUUGCUCAGCACACUUGCAAUUGUCACAAAGUUAGGUAUUUAGUGCUCAUGUGUGUAUCUUCCCUGUCACGAGAAAGAAAU
ensembl:lncRNA